AUCAGUGAGUACUCUCAGCAAACCAGCCCCGAAGAUUAAGACCUCCACUUUUGGCUUUCUGCUGAAAAUGUGACACAUUGCAUGAUGCUUAUCUGCUUUUAAUUGUGUGUUGUGUGUGUGUGUGUGUUUUCUCCCUUCUUUUUGCAGAGGAGGCAAUUUGCAAGUCAUUGCUCUAUGCCUCCCUACAACGAAGAGAUAAAUUAUAUGAGAGGCUGUGGUGUUUGGCCUGUUUGAUACCCUUUGCUGAUAAAUUGAAGUGAACCUUCAUAAUUAAUACCCAGUCUUUUCUGGUUGACUCCAUUGCACUAAAGCUUGAGGAUAUCUGACUGUAAUGAAAAAUGAUUGUUGUGAUGCACUCUGCCUUUUUCCCUCUUUUUAUCUCUAUCGUCAAAAAUAUGCACGGAACAAAUCUACUGGAGGUUCUGUUGGACAGCGUCAGAAAGAUCUCUCGUUUUUAUUAAGCAGCGUCUUCAAAGAUUCAGCAGAGACAGACUUGCUUCUGUGAGCUUUUUAACAUGUUGAGAAUGCAAAGCAGUGGACAUGAGGAUUGAAAACAAUACAUUCGCAACAAAUGAUCCACCUGUGUUAAUAACUUGAUCAACUCUUUCAAAAUGACUGACAGCUCAGUGGAAAACAGAAUUGUCACCUCUUAGCUGGAACAAAACCUUUGGAAUCGCACAGAAUUGGGUGCAGAUCUCACCUCUUCCCUUUCUGGCCUGGUGUCCUUGAAGGUGGACUUCAUCACUCUGGGACCCCAUUUUUAUCCACAGAAGGGGAAAGAAUUCUUCAAAAAUCUUGUCAAGACUUGGUGAGAAAACACAUGGGAAGGAACACUGGCACAGCAAUCUCUCCAUUGAUAACUGUUCCUCUCCCUCCUCAAUGCCAGUGGGAGGUGGGCUCUCACUAGGAAAAGGAAAAGGACAAGUCAUUUACAGAACAGAGUGUGCCUUGCGUCUCUCCAGAGGAAGUUUCUCCUGAAAGACACUGUUUGUGACCCCCUCUGACAGUUGUCUUGGUAUACAGAGUAAUUGAGUUUCCCUCCUCUUCAAUUGGGCUGCUUCCUUAAAAGUAGUGAUUAAAACAGAUUUACUGGAGGGCAACAUGACAUUUAUAUGGACUAGAGGCAUUUUCCUGUUCAUUUUGUUUGGGGAGUAACCUUUCAGAAAGGGUAGAUUUAAUUUAGGGAACACUUCAUUAAGCCGGGGACGGAUCACUAGAAGGAAAAUUCUUACAAGGAAAAAUGCCAUCCUCUCAGAAGGGUGUGCUCAGUUUUAACAAUCUGACAGUUAAGGGAAUUGAGGAUUUGGGGAGGGAGGGGUGUGCUUCUUCUAGUUGGUGGUACUUGGACUUCUCUCCCUUUUUUCCUUGCAUUUCCCCUGCCUUUUGUUGGUUUUAAAUAGUCAGUGGUGCAGGAAUGCCUAUUCAUUAUUGCAGUUGUUGGUGAAGUCAAAAUAAACAGAGCUGUAUACAUGUAGACACUUUGGGUGCUAAUUUGUAUGUCGAAUUUAUUCGAAGAGUGAUGAUCUUUUCUCUGAUCACAAAA